rnacentral:rRNA from 1 species
GACGAACCUGACAAACGUUAUUCGGAAUUACUGGGCUUAAAGGGUGCGUAGGCGGCGUGGCAAGUUGGGUGUGAAAUCCCUCGGCUCAACUGAGGAACUGCGCUCAAUACUGCCAUGCUCGAGGGAGACAGAGGUGAGCGGAACUUAGGGUGGAGCGGUGAAAUGCGUUGAUAUCCUAAGGAACACCGGUAGCGAAAGCGGCUCACUGGGCCUUUUCUGACGCUGAGGCACGAAAGCUAGGGUAGCGAACGGG